rnacentral:lncRNA from 1 species
UGUUAUUAGGGUCUACACUGAAAGAAGUGAUAACUAUGCUGAGUAGUUUUUUUGUAUUUUUUUGUUUUUUGGUUUGUUUGUUGUUUUUUUUUUUUGAGACGGAGUCUCGCUCUGUUGCCCAGGCUGGAGUGCAGUGGUGCGAUCUUGGCUCACUCCAAGUUCCACCUUCCAGGUUCACGCCAUUCUCCUGCCUCAUAUGCUGAGUAGUUUUAAUAAAGAAAAGCAUCCAGACAUCCCCACAAACAAGACUUUGUGACUGGAGCCUCAGUAAGGGGUCACUGAACUCCAGAACCACACUCACUCAACAAGACAAAGUACCUUCCUCAACACCAGGCUGCUGAACCCUCCCAUAGCUCACACACAGCUGCCCAUUGUCAAAAACAAAAGCAAUGAGUGAGAUGGAAUUCUCUUUUCAAUAUCUGCUCCUACCCUCAAAGUAGACGCUGCCUUUGGGUGGGCCAGUCCAGUAGCAUAACCAAGGAAUGUAAAUCCUCAGCAUGUAAAGGCGGGGUGGAAAGAAGCCACAGACACGCAUGUGGGAGACUCGCGCACCCACACCAAAGCUGACUUCGAUGCUUAAAGGUCGAAGCACCGGACCCCUCUUCUUUUAUCUCUGUGGUAGAGACAAACACAACUUACAUCUCAUUUCCUCAUGAUCUACAGUGAAAGAAAGUGAGUGGAAUACAGGUUAUAGGCAUUUACAAGAUUCCAGUCCAUUGAGACCUUGCACAUGGGAACACAACAGCAUCUCUUCAAAUGCAAUUUUGAAGAUGUUCACACAGGCAUCAUGGGGAGAAGACUGGAAGGAAUGCUCUGCACCCUGGGGUUGUGUGCUGAGUGCGACUCUGGGGAAGAAAAUGACUCCACAGCUUAAAUAAAAAUGUUGAAGGCCACUGUGAGCUACAUCUCAAAUGGCCCCCGAGGGAUCUUUUCCAUGGCCUUAGCUCACUUGCAGAAGACAUCUGCAUGGCCCAGCAAGCUCCGCGGAUGCAGAGGCAGAGUGUGAUCAAAGCCCAGCUCAGCUCUCCUCUGGUCGCCGAAUACCUGUCUGGGGCACAUUGGAGAGGAGCAGGGGACCUGACUGUGCCCAUCAAGACAGCGACUGCCAUUUUCUGUGCCUCCAGGACUGGGGUCAUCAUCAGGGCUGUGCAUACAGGACAAAAAGCUCUCAUUUUUCCAUCUGGCAUUCCUCAUCUCUGGAUCGGCAUGGGCAGCAGUAAAUUCCAGGAGAGACCUUAGCCAACCAUCCCCUUUGUUUCCUGAAAGAAGAGAGGUUUAUGUUCUCCUGGAAGGCUGACCAGCAGUAACUUAGGGAAGCCACAGGCCAGCAGCACACUGAAAUGCAGAUGUGAUUAGAUAAACGAGGGAGCAAAGGCAUGUUGUGUCAUUAUAGCUUUACAUAAACUCUCCUUUUCCAAUAAGCUCGCCAAGUGUUCUCUGUUGGUAUCAAUCAAACAGCUCCUAAAAACUUACAAUUUCCUAAAACUCUACCAAAUUGGCCUUUCAGCAGUCACUGCACUGGCCCCAGGCCACCCACACUGCUGCGUGCUAGCAAGCCGCCCUCCACCUUCUACUUUACACCUCCGUUUAUUCAACCAAAAAUGUUUCUUCAUCAUCUACAUGGCAGUUGGUACGAUACUAAGAGACAUGGAAGAUUAAAAAGUAAAAAAAUCAAAUGCAAAUCAUGACCUCAAGAACAUAUAAUUUAGUGUAAAGAUAAAAUAGCAUUUACUGUUAUAUAAAGAGGAAACUUAUUUGUACAGCAAGUAAAAUUCAGCAGCAUUUUACAUCCGUGUUUUUCUGUGGAAUUUUGCAGUCUCAUUCUAGUAAUUAUAUUCUUGUUGUAUCUUUUAUUUAUUUGCCCAUUUUUACUGUCACUGUAAUUUUCUCUCUAGGACACCACCAACAAAUAAGAAUAUGGAAAUAAAAACUGAAAUGGGCCUUUGAGGUCAUCCAGUUCCGCGAAGUCAUUUCACAAAUGAGAAAAUCAAGGCCUAUAGAAAUUAAAAGAUAUGUCCAAAGUCAUAGGCUCAAUUCGUAGAAGUAUUAGCUCUAGGCCUCCCCACUGCCCGACUUAAUAUUUCAUUGCCAAUAUAACUUUUGA